rnacentral:rRNA from 1 species
UACGAAGGUGGCAAGCGUUGUUCGGAUUUACUGGGCGUAAAGGGAGCGUAGGUGGUGGGGUAAGCCCCGCGGGAAAGCUCCAGGCUUAACCUGGAAAGGUCGCGGGGGACUGCUCCGCUCGAGGACGGGAGAGGAGCGCGGAAUUCCCGGUGUAGCGGUGAAAUGCGUAGAUAUCGGUAGGAACACCAGUGGCGAAGGCGGUCUCCUGGGGCAUUCUUGACGCUGAGGCGCGAAAGCUGGGGGAGCAAACGGG